CGAAACAAGUCGGGCUUGCGUCGACCUAAAUACAUCAGUAUAGCCAUAAAAAUCUAUACUUAUACUGGAAAUCACUUACGAUAGGUUAAACGCUAAAACCUAUAGG